CCCGCCCUCUCUACCGCAGGAGCCACAGCGUCCGCCGUCGCCCCCAAACCGCGUCUGCUGGGUGCCAGGCUGAAGAGCGCAUCCUCGCCUGCUUCCUCCUGGGGCAGCCCCAGAGCACGCGAAGAGGGUGCUGCGCGGGACGCCGGGGUCGGCUCACCAGGGCGCAAACAGGUGAUAUUUUGCCAUGUACCUGAGACCAUAUCAAAGACCUAAUAACAACUCUUGUACCUGGAGCCAGGACAUGUGCAGGAUGGUGACUCUCAUCCCUGAACCUUUCCGUAGGUGUUAUUGUGACAUAUACCUUUGCCCAACUCCUGAGUGAUUUAAUAAUCCUGCCUAGUUACAGCAUACAGAUGACAUUUUGACAUAUACCUGGGCCGAGAACCUUGCUGAUUUGACCCUCCUCUCUUAACAGCCUCCUCAGAAGGGAUCAUAACAUUUCUCUGGACCCAUUGUCUAGAGGAAAUUAUUAUGUAUUGCUGAGCCCAGUACCCAGCUGGUGUGAUUCUCUUUUUCUUCUUCAAACCUGUCUACAAUGGUCAUGGUGACACAUUACUUCAGGCUGUACCCAGACUCUGCCAAGAGGGGAUUAUUACAUACUGCAGAGCCCAGCACCCAGGAUGAAAAGCCAGAAUACAAGCAGUGACCACCACACCUGACAGACCUGUUGCUGCACAUAUCUGUACUCUCCAAUCAACAAAACCUGAUGCUAAAAACAGAAAAGGGGAGAUGUAGGAGAUUGGUCAGGGUGAUGGGAAAAAUUGUAGAAAGAUGCAAACCUUGGAAGGCUGGAAGAUUUUACAAAAGCUUCAGAAUAGGAUUUGGCUGAAGGCAGCCAGAUUCUCUUAUCCUGUGCCUUAAAGCUUAAGUUAGAUAACAAGGGGAUAUAAAGAAACUGAUCUAGGUAAGUUAGUUUACUUAGGCCUUGGAACCUGGCCUUUAAUCAUCUGCAGGACUGCUCUCCAGGGAGGGCGACUAUGUUAAUUAUCCACAAGUGUGUUAACUCAAAGCCUUUGUUAUUAAAUUUAUACUGAAUAAAUGCCUGCAGUGCCAGCAUGUCAGGGCCAUGGCUGCUGACUCUUUAUGGCACCCUCCUCAGUGUAUGUAAGCUGCCUGGUCUGUUAGCUCGCUGUUUCACUGGA